GAUGAACGCUAGCUACAGGCUUAACACAUGCAAGUCGAGGGGAAACGGCAUUGUGUGCUUGCACUCUUUGGACGUCGACCGGCGCACGGGUGAGUAACGCGUAUCCAACCUUCCCAUUACUGUGGGAUAACCUGCCGAAAGGCAGACUAAUACCGCAUAGUCUUCGAUGACGGCAUCAGAUUUGAAGUAAAGAUUUAUCGGUAAUGGAUGGGGAUGCGUCUGAUUAGCUUGUUGGCGGGGUAACGGCCCACCAAGGCGACGAUCAGUAGGGGUUCUGAGAGGAAGGUCCCCCACAUUGGAACUGAGACACGGUCCAAACUCCUACGGGAGGCAGCAGUGAGGAAUAUUGGUCAAUGGACGGAAGUCUGAACCAGCCAAGUAGCGUGCAGGAUGACGGCCCUAUGGGUUGUAAACUGCUUUUGUGUGGGGAUAAAGUUAGGGACGUGUCCCUAUUUGCAGGUACCAUACGAAUAAGGACCGGCUAAUUCCGUG
rnacentral:rRNA from 1 species